GAGGAAGUAAAAGUCGUAACAAGGUUUCCGUAGGUGAACCUGCGGAAGGAUCAUUAUUGAAUGAAUGUAGAGUUGGUUGUCGCUGGUCCUUUCGGGGGCAUGUGCACGCCUUCUCUUUCAUCCACACACACCUGUGCACUUGUGAGACGGAGGACUUUAAUUAGUCUUCCGUCUACUUAAUCACACAAACUCAUUUUAAUUAAACUGAAUGUAAUUGAUGUAACGCAUCAUUAGAACUAAGUUUCAACAACGGAUCUCUUGGCUCUCGCAUCGAUGAAGAACGCAGCGAAAUGCGAUAAGUAAUGUGAAUUGCAGAAUUCAGUGAAUCAUCGAAUCUUUGAACGCACCUUGCGCUCCUUGGUAUUCCUUGGAGCAUGCCUGUUUGAGUAUCAUGAAAUUCUCAAAGUAAAUCUUUUGUUAAUUCAACUGGUUUGCUUUGGAUUUGGAGGUCUUUGCAGAUUUCACGUCUGCUCCUCUUAAAUGCAUUAGCUGGAUCUCAGUAUAUGCUUGGUUCCACUCGGCGUGAUAAGUAUCACUCGCUGAGGACACUGUUAAAAAGGUGGCCAGGAAAUACAGAUGAACCGCUUCUAAUAGUCUAUUAAGUUAGACAAUUAAUUUUAAGAUCUGAUCUCAAAUCAGGUAGGACUACCCGCUGAACUUAAGCAUAUCAU
rnacentral:rRNA from 1 species